ACCAGACUGGCUCAGUCAGUAGAGCAUGUGACUUUUGAUCUCACGGUCAUGAGUUCAAGCCCCACAUUGGGUA
rnacentral:tRNA from 1 species